rnacentral:rRNA from 1 species
AACGCGAAGAACCUUACCUACCCUUGACAUCCUUCGAAUCUUGUAGAGAUAUGAGAGUGCCGAAAGGAGCGAAGAGACAGGUGCUGCAUGGCUGUCGUCAGCUCGUGUCGUGAGAUGUUGGGUUAAGUCCCGUAACGAGCGCAACCCUUGUCCUUAGUUGCCAGCACGUAAAGGUGGGAACUCUAAGGAGACUGCCGGUGAUAAACCGGAGGAAGGUGGGGAUGAGGUCAAGUCAUCAUGGCCUUUAUGGGUAGGGCUACACACGUGCUACAAUGGUCGGUACAAAGGGAGGCGAAGCCGCGAGGUGGAGCUAAACUCAGAAAACCGAUCUUAGUCCGGAUUGGAGUCUGCAACUCGACUCCAUGAAGCUGGAAUCGCUAGUAAUCGCGGAUCAGAACGCCGCGGUGAAUACGUUCCCGGGCCUUGUACACACCGAGACGUA